GGACGCCAGUCUGCAUGGAGCCGACCUUGAAAUACCACCCUUUAAUGUUUGAUGUUCUAACGUGGGCCCGUUACCCGGGUUGCGGACAGUGUCUGGUGGGUAGUUUGACUGGGGCGGUCUCCUCCUAAAGAGUAACGGAGGAGCACGAAGGUUGGCUAAUCCUGGUCGGACAUCAGGAGGUUAGUGCAAUGGCAUAAGCCAGCUUGACUGCGAGCGUGACGGCGCGAGCAGGUGCGAAAGCAGGUCAUAGUGAUCCGGUGGUUCUGAAUGGAAGGGCCAUCGCUCAACGGAUAAAAGGUACUCCGGGGAUAACAGGCUGAUACCGCCCAAGAGUUCAUAUCGACGGCGGUGUUUGGCACCUCGAUGUCGGCUCAUCACAUCCUGGGGCUGAAGUAGGUCCCAAGGGUAUGGCUGUUCGCCAUUUAAAGUGGUACGCGAGCUGGGUUUAGAACGUCGUGAGACAGUUCGGUCCCUAUCUGCCGUGGGCGCUGGAGAACUGAGGGGGGCUGCUCCUAGUACGAGAGGACCGGAGUGGACGCAUCACUGGUGUUCGGGUUGUCAUGCCAAUGGCACUGCCCGGUAGCUAAAUGCGGAAGAGAUAAGUGCUGAAAGCAUCUAAGCACGAAACUUGCCCCGAGAUGAGUUCUCCCUGAGACUUAGAGUCUCCUGAAGGAACGUUGAAGACGACGACGUUGAUAGGCCGGGUGUGUAAGCGCAGCGAUGCGUUGAGCUAACCGGUACUAAUGAACCGUGAGGCUUAACCUUACA
rnacentral:rRNA from 1 species